rnacentral:piRNA from 1 species
ACAGGAUGAUUCACACGGGCGAGA